rnacentral:lncRNA from 1 species
AGUGGUGGAAAAUGGUGUUGCUUCAUGGUUGUGACUUAUUUCCAGUGUGCAAUCAAGAAGCUGGUCAAAAGGCUUGCUAACAAGUACCAUGCUUUCCUAGCAUCAGAGGCGAUCAUGUAUAUUGACAUUUGUUCUAUGUGAAGCAGAUAGUAUUCCAUAUGUAAAUUUGGAUGAUUUGACUUGUAUUUCUUGUCUUUGUAAAGAUUAAAUGCUUUUUGAAUAUUGCUGGUAUUAGAUGAAUGAACAGAUAACUUGUAAAGAUUAAUUUCUUAUGUUCAGCUUUUUGUAAAGAUUGAAUGCUUUUUUAAUGUCAAUGAUGCUGGGACAAGAUUGAAUGACUUAUUUUUGUCAUGCUUAUGAUAACUUCUC